UACGAAGGGGGCUAGCGUUGUUCGGAUUUACUGGGCGUAAAGGGCGCGUAGGCGGCGCGGUAAGUCACUUGUGAAAUCUCUGAGCUUAACUCAGAACGGCCAAGUGAUACUGCAGUGCUAGAGUGCAGAAAGGGCAAUCGGAAUUCUUGGUGUAGCGGUGAAAUGCGUAGAUAUCAAGAGGAACACCUGAGGCGAAGGCGGGUUGCUAGGCUGACACUGACGCUGAGGCGCGAAAGCCAGGGGAGCAAACGGG
rnacentral:rRNA from 1 species